rnacentral:rRNA from 1 species
GAUGAACGCUGGCGGCGUGCCUAAUACAUGCAAGUCGAGCGAACAGACGAGGAGCUUGCUCCUCUGACGUUAGCGGCGGACGGGUGAGUAACACGUGGAUAACCUACCUAUAAGACUGGGAUAACUUCGGGAAACCGGAGCUAAUACCGGAUAAUAUAUUGAACCGCAUGGUUCAAUAGUGAAAGACGGUUUUGCUGCCACUUAUAGAUGGAUCCGCGCCGCAUUAGCUAGUUGGUAAGGUAACGGCUUACCAAGGCAACGAUGCGUAGCCGACCUGAGAGGGUGAUCGGCCACACUGGAACUGAGACACGGUCAAGACUCCUACGGGAGGCAGCAGUAGGGAAUCUUCCGCAAUGGGCGAAAGCCUGACGGAGCAACGCCGCGUGAGUGAUGAAGGUCUUCGGAUCGUAAAACUCUGUUAUUAGGGAAGAACAAAUGUGUAAGUAACUAUGCACGUCUUGACGGUACCUAAUCAGAAAGCCACGGCUAACUACGUG